AUUGAACGCUGCGGCAGGCUUAACACAUGCAAGUCGAGCGAGCGGCGGACGGGCGAGUAAUGCUUAGGAAUCUGCCUAUUAGUGGGGGACAACAUCUCGAAAGGGAUGCUAAUACCGCAUACUUAUAGAUGAGCCUAAGUCGGAGUGGCUGGUAGGUGGGGUAACGGCUCACCUAGGCGACGAUCCCUAGCUGGUCUGAGAGGAUGACCAGCCAAACUGGAACUGAGACACGGUGCAGACUCCUACGCGAGGCAGGGGUGGGGAAUAUUGGACAAUGGGCGCAAGCCGGAUGCAGCCAUGCCGCGUGUGUGAAGAAGGCCUGCGGGUUGUAAAGCACUUUCAGCGGGGAGGCGUUACCCGCAGAAGAAGCACCGGCUAACUCCGUGCCAGCCGCCGCGGUAAUAC
rnacentral:rRNA from 1 species